rnacentral:rRNA from 1 species
UACGUAGGGGGCGAGCGUUUGUCCGGAUUUAUUGGGCGUAAAGAGCGUGUAGGCGGUUCGGUAAGUCUGUCGUGAAAUCCUGAGGCUCAACCUCGGGCGUGCGAUGGAUACUGCCGGGCUAGAGUCCGGAAGAGGCGAGUGGAAUUCCUGGUGUAGCGGUGAAAUGCGCAGAUAUCAGGAGGAACACCGAUGGCGAAGGCAGCUCGCUGGGACGGUACUGACGCUGAGGCGCGAAAGCUAGGGGAGCGAACGGG